CCUAUAAGACUGGGAUAACUUCGGGAAACCGGAGCUAAUGCCGGAUAACAUUUGGAACCGCAUGGUUCUAAAGUAAAGGAUGGUUUUGCUAUCACUUAUAGAUGGACCCGCGCCGUAUUAGCUAGUUGGUAAGGUAACGGCUUACCAAGGCAACGAUACGUAGCCGACCUGAGAGGGUGAUCGGCCACACUGGAACUGAGACACGGUCCAGACUCCUACGGGAGGCAGCAGUAGGGAAUCUUCCGCAAUGGACGAAAGUCUGACGGAGCAACGCCGCGUGAGUGAUGAAGGUUUUCGGAUCGUAAAACUCUGUUAUUAGGGAAGAACAAAUGUGUAAGUAACUGUGCACAUCUUGACGGUACCUAAUCAGAAAGCCACGGCUAACUACGUGCCAGCAGCCGCGGUAAUACGUAGGUGGCAAGCGUUAUCCGGAAUUAUUGGGCGUAAAGCGCGCGUAGGCGGUUUCUUAAGUCUGAUGUGAAAGCCCACGGCUCAACCGUGGAGGGUCAUUGGAAACUGGGAAACUUGAGUACAGAAGAGGAAAGUGGAAUUCCAUGUGUAGCGGUGAAAUGCGCAGAGAUAUGGAGGAACACCAGUGGCGAAGGCGACUUUCUGGUCUGUAACUGACGCUGAUGUGCGAAAGCGUGGGGAUCAAACAGGAUUAGAUACCCUGGUAGUCCACGCCGUAAACGAUGAGUGCUAAGUGUUAGGGGGUUUCCGCCCCUUAGUGCUGCAGCUAACG
rnacentral:rRNA from 1 species